UUGUCUAUAAUACCCUUCACCUCACUUAUCUCAUAAAUAUGGAUCAAAAGAUUAGGUAGAAUAAUAAGGAGCAAUUUAAAAAAAAUAGUAAUCAAUUCUCCUAUAUAACCACAAACGAUAAAUAAUUAAGAAUAAAAAAAAAGUCAGAGAGUAAUUAGUAAAGGAGGAGGGGCAUGAAUUUGAAAUUCAAAUUCCCCCAGAAAGAAGGCAUCGGAAACUUUAGACAAAAGACCUUGUAAUAUGCAGAAUCCCAUGUUUACCUGCCUCUCUGCAUCUGGGAUAGUGCGCUACUCACUUGUCCACCAUAAUCACACACACAUGCAAAUCCAAAC
rnacentral:lncRNA from 1 species